rnacentral:lncRNA from 1 species
AAUUCUGAAAGAAUAUUCAUCUAUCCUAAAAUAUUCUUGUUAUCCUAAUUUCUAAAUCACAAACCCAAAUCUACAAUAUUUCUCAAAAAAUUGAAAACUUUCCAAAAAUAGAUGUUUUUAAGAAAAUUAUUUAUAAAUACUAUAUACAGAUGAAAAAUUAUGAAAGAAUACUCAUCUACCCUAAAAUAUUCUUGUUAUCCUUAUUUCUAUAUCACAAAACCAAAUCUACAGUAU